UACGAAGGGGGCUAGCGUUGUUCGGAUUUACUGGGCGUAAAGCGCACGUAGGCGGAUCGUUAAGUCGGGGGUGAAAUCCUGGAGCUCAACUCCAGAACUGCCUUCGAUACUGGCGAUCUUGAGUCCGGAAGAGGUGAGUGGAACUCCUAGUGUAGAGGUGGAAUUCGUAGAUAUUCGGAAGAACACCAGUGGCGAAGGCGGCUCACUGGACUGGUAUUGACGCUGAUGUGCGAAAGCGUGGGGAGCAAACAGG
rnacentral:rRNA from 1 species